UGAAAAGCGAGGUCGUGAAGACGCCGGCCUCAUACCGAAGGGUAGGACGGUGAGAUCAGCCCCGUCCCACUCCAACUAAAAUCAACCUGACAGGAGGUGGUUCAGGAAAACGGUCCCAUUUGGCACCUCAAGUCUAGGUCCCUCAAGUCUCUACAACAGUAUGCAAAGAAAAUGUUCAUCUUCAUUCUUCUUAUAGUUUUCUGGUAACUUACUGAACCAAGCGCACACACACUCUCCAAGGACAAACAUUUUUCAGUGCUGGGACAAUGCAAAUUCAGCUCUCGGCAGACUACUACACACUGUGCAUGAUAUACCAAGACUAAAAGACUCAUAACCUACCCGCAGAAAGAGUGCAUCUUCCAUAGUAGCUCUGCAAAAAGAUCCAAAAGAAACUGUUAAUGGCCUGGCUUAAGUCAAAUUGUGUCCGGAAUUGGUGGGUUCUUCGUCUCACUGACUUCAAGUAUGAAGCCGACCCUCGCGGUCAGUGUUACAGCUCUUAAGAUGGCGCCUGUGGAGUUUGUUCCUUCUGAUGUUCGGAUGUGUUCGGAGUUUCUUCCUUCUGGUGGGAUCGUGGUCUCGCUGGCUCAGGAGUGAAGCUGCAGACCUUCGCAGUGAGUGUUACAGCUCUUAAGGCGGCGCGUCUGCAGUUGUUCCUUUCUCCCGGUGGGUUCCUGGUCUUGCUGGCUUCAAGAGUGAAGCUGCAGACCUGCGUGUUGAGUGUUACAGCUCAUAAAGGCAGUGUGGA
rnacentral:lncRNA from 1 species